CCUACGGGUGGCUGCAGUGAGGAAUAUUGGUCAAUGGGCGAGAGCCUGAACCAGCCAAGUCGCGUGAGGGAAGACGGUCCUAUGGAUUGUAAACCGCUUUUGCAGGGGAGCAAACCGCGGUACGUGUACCGCAUCGAGAGUACCCGGCGAAUAAGCAUCGGCUAACUCCGUGCCAGCAGCCGCGGUAAUACGGAGGAUCCGAGCGUUAUCCGGAUUUAUUGGGUUUAAAGGGUGCGCAGGCGGCGUGUUAAGUCAGCGGUAAAAUUUCGGGGCUCAACCCCGACAAGCCGUUGACACUGGCUGGCUAGAGAGGGCUAGAGGUAGGCGGAAUGCGUGGUGUAGCGGUGAAAUGCAUAGAUAUCACGCAGAACUCCGAUUGCGAAGGCAGCAUACCGGCGCCCAACUGACGCUCAGGCACGAAAGCGUGGGUAUCGAACAGGAUUAGAUACCCGUGUAGUC
rnacentral:rRNA from 1 species